AUUGAACGCUGGCGGCAUGCCUUACACAUGCAAGUCGAACGGCAGCACGGGUGCUUGCACCUGGUGGCGAGUGGCGAACGGGUGAGUAAUACAUCGGAACGUACCUUAUCGUGGGGGAUAACGUAGCGAAAGUUGUGCUAAUAGCGCAUACGCCCUGAGGGGGAAAGCGGGGGCUCGCAAGACCUCGCGCGAUUACAGCGGCCGAAGCCUGAUUAGCUAGUUAGUGGGGUAAAAGCCCAGCAAGGCGACGAUCAGUAGCUGGUCUGAGAGGACGAUCAGCCACACUGGGACUGAGACACGGCCCAGACUCCUACGGGAGGCAGCAGUGGGGAAUUUUGGACAAUGGGGGCAACCCUGAUCCAGCAAUGCCGCGUGAGUGAAGAAGGCCUUCGGGUUGUAAAGCUCUUUUGUCAGGGAAGAAACACCGGCUCUAACACAGUCCGGGAAUGACGGUACCUGAAGAAUAAGCACCGGCUAACUACGUGCCAGCCGCCGCCGUAA
rnacentral:rRNA from 1 species